CUUGCUUUGGCAAGUUAUACAAUACCCAAAUUGGAAUGAUACAGAGAUUACCAUGGACCUUGUACAAAGAUCACACGCAAAGGUGUGAAGCUGUCCACAUUUUU
ensembl:snRNA U6 U6 spliceosomal RNA